ACGGUCGAUGCGGGAGAGUUCGACGUCGUAGAGACGAGCGAACACCGAAGGAGCAAUCCUCCCCGACAAUCUCUCAGGUACUCGUACCGCAUCGAACGG
rnacentral:ncRNA from 2 species